GUUAUAUGAUCAAGUAAUUAAGAGCACAAGGCGGAUGCCUUGGCAGCUGAAGGCGAUGAAGGACGUAGUAACUUGCGAUAAGCUUCGGGGAGGUGGUAAACAACCUUUGAUCCGGAGAUUUCCGAAUGGGGGAACCCAGUGUGCAUAAGCACAUUAUCUUAUACUGAAUACAUAGGUAUAUGAAGCAAACCUAGGGAACUGAAACAUCUAAGUACCUAGAGGAAAAGAAAUCAAUAGAGAUUCCGGUAGUAGCGGCGAGCGAAACCGGACCAGCCCUUAAGCUUUUUUAAGAUUAGCAAAACAGACUGGAAAGUCUGGCCAUAGUAGGUGAUAGCCCUGUAUGCGAAAAUCUUUUAAGAGUGAAAUCGAGUAGGUCGGAACACGUGAAAUUCUGACUGAAUAUGGGGGGACCAUCCUCCAAGGCUAAAUACUCUCAGCUGACCGAUAGUGAACUAGUACCGUGAGGGAAAGGCGAAAAGAACCCCGGCGAGGGGAGUGAAAUAGAACCUGAAACCUUGUGCUUACAAGCAGUCGGAGCAGACUUGUUCUGUGACGGCGUACCUUUUGUAUAAUGGGUCAACGACUUAAUUUCAGUAGCAAGCUUAACCGCAUAGGGGAGGCGUAGGGAAACCGAGUCUUAAUAGGGCGCUCAGUUGCUGGAAUUAGACCCGAAACCGGGUGAUCUAUCCAUGGCCAGGGUGAAGGUUAGGUAACACUGACUGGAGGCCCGAACCCACUUAUGUUGAAAAAUGAGGGGAUGAGCUGUGGAUAGGAGUGAAAGGCUAAUCAAACCCGGAGAUAGCUGGUUCUCUUCGAAAACUAUUUAGGUAGUGCCUCAUGUAUUACCAUUGGGGGUAGAGCACUGUUUCGGCUAGGGGGUCAUCCCGACUUACCAAACCGAUGCAAACUCCGAAUACC
rnacentral:rRNA from 2 species